rnacentral:rRNA from 1 species
UAUAAAAGUAAAUUUUAAAAUAAUUGAUUAAUAGUUAUGAUCUUUAAAGAUAAAUAAUUUGGCGGUAUUUUAGUCUUUUCAGAGGAACCUGUUUUAUGAAUGAUAAUCCACGAUUAGAGGUUCUUAACUUAGAAAUUUAUAUAUCAUCGUUAUUAAAUAUUUUUUUAGAAUACAAUAUUUAUUAAAUAUUAUUUUAUUUUAAUUCAGAUCAAGGUAUAGUUUAUAGUUAAGUAAUAAUGGGUUACAAUAUUUAUAAAUUUGAAUUUUAAAGUUUAAAUUUAAAUGAAAUUGGAUUUGAAAGUAAUUAUUUAUUUUAAAAAUAAUGAUUUAGCUCUAAAAUAUGU